rnacentral:rRNA from 1 species
AUUGAACGCUGGCGGCAGGCCUAACACAUGCAAGUCGAGCGAGCGGCGGACGGGUGAGUAAUGUAUGGGGACUGCACGAUAGAGGGGGAUAACUACUGGAAACGGUGGCUAAUACCGAAUACUAGCGGAUAACCCAUAUGGGAUUAGCUAGUAGGUGGGGUAAAGGCUAACCUAGGCGACGAUCCCUAGCUGGGCUGAGAGGAUGAUCAGCCACACUGGGACUGGGACACGGCCCAGACUCCUACGGAGGCACCAGUGGGGAAUAUUGCACAAUGGGCGCAAUCCUGAUGCAGCCAUUCCGCGUGUAUGAAGAAGGCCUUGGGGUUGUAAAUUACUUUCAGCGGGGAGGCGUUACCCGCAGAAGAAGCACCGGCUAACUCCGUGCCAGCAGCCGCGGUAAUUC